CGCCGGAGGACAGGGGAGGCGGCGGGCGGAAGCCGCUGGGAACGACUCAAUUUACCAAGGCUUACGACUUCCUCCGUUGUCUCCCACAUGGUCUAGCGGUUAGGAUUCCUGGUUUUCACCCAGGCGGCCCGGGUUCGACUCCCGGUGUGGGAACGCCGAAUCUUUUAGGAAACAGAAAAGCCGAUUCAGGCCCUCCUCGGCUCCUCAACCAGAAGGCUGGUGUUUUUAGAAAAACCUAUAACCCAAUUUCAGAGCAGCAGGGAAGCUCGGGCCUGAAGGGAAUCCGGGCGUCCCGCCCCAAACCCGGCGCGGCUGGCGGAAGCAGGCGGGGAGGCAGUAGUAGCUCCGACAGUGAGCAAGUUAGCUUUUGAAAUAGGGGAUGGAAUCCGAGUGAAGAAGAACCCAUGGGAUGCUGAACUAGAAUUGGGAAUCUCAGCGUCGAUGUGUCACAAGAGGGCUUCCAACUGUCACCCCGAGAAGUGUUUCCUCGGCUGUAAUCGUUUAUCUUGCUUAUCGCUCCAAACAUUUGCCAUUAGGAAAAUCCUCAAGGCGUUCAGAAGCCACGCUCCUUUCCCACUGGUGUUGAAUUUUUGGAAGCCUCCCCGGUUGUUCCCAGACUGCCACCAACACUGAGACAUGACCGUGAAAAAGACUUGGUGUCCCUGUGACUUUGAAAUUUGCUCUCCUUUGAAAGUCCUUUGGGAUUCUUAGGGUCGCAAAACAAAAUGUCAUCCUUCAUGAGAAAAUUACUAGGCGGAAAAUACACAUUUAUUCAAAAUCCCUAAUAAAGGGCUUGGAGGAGAAAUUUAUCGUCAGCUGAUAAUCUGCAUUUAUGGAAUCAAGUAGGACAGAACUGAUAAGAAGAUAAAAAGCCCAAUCAUCAUAACAAUAGGGUAAGGAUGCAGAAUGAAAUCAUUCAAAGGAAGAGACACAGAGGGCAGAGUCUGGAGUGUUCCAAAUGCCAAACUUCCAUUGCCUUCUCUCUCCAUGGAAUCAGGAUGCAUUACCCUCCCGGUAUUGAUCUCUGUUGGCAAAGGAGACAACUUGGUAUAGUCUGGGCUCUCUCAAGAACCUCUCUUUACCACGUAUUGGCUGUGAAUCUCUGAAGCUCUUCUCCAGCUGUCAAAGUAUUUGAAUCACUUGUCUACAGGUAUGUAAGCAUGACAUAGUUACCUUAAUAAUCUGCAGAAAUAUGCACAAAGUUAUAUUUCUGCCUGACGUCCCAUUACCAAUAUAAAAAUAUAAUCGACUGUUUUGGUCAUUUGCAUUAAUAAUUAACUAGGACACUUUAAAAUUCCCAUUUUCCUCAAAGCUACAUUUUUAUAAGUGCUUGAUUUUUUUCCUCUCAAUAAUUUUGUGAGGGAGUGUUCAGUGUUUUUACGAAAUAAGUAUCUUUUUAUGUAACUUAUAAAUGCACAUAGACAUAAAAAGUAUUAACAAUUAAGAGUUCAUAGGAUACCCCUAUUAUUAUUAUUACUAUUUACCCCUAUGAUUUGUUUUAAUUAGAUUUUAAACACAGGCUUAACAUCAUAUGUAUACACACCCAUGUGGUUAUCUUGACCAGCAAGAUUAACCUUGAACUAUUCCUUCAAGGGUAUUGUCUCAUUAGAUGAUCCUCCCUAUCACCUCACAGGGAAAGAGUCAGCCUUCUGCAAUAUUUGGAAUCAUAUUUUCCCCUAAAUGCAGUUGUAGUGGAGUAAAAUAAAUAGUAGAUUUAGAGGUAGGGUUUAUGCCGCAACUCUGUCAACAACCCAGUUCACCUGUUACUAAAAGGACCUUUCAUUUAAGCUUUCAGAGCUUCAAUUUUGCCAUCCUUGAAAUGGAAACAAUAGUAUUUUUUCUUAUUAUGUAGCUCAUUUAAUUAAAAAAAUAUUUAAUAACGUAGUCUUUGAGGAAAGCACUGGCUAAAAACUCUAACAUUAAACAAGUACAAGACCUUCUAGGACAUGCUGUGAUAUUUUACCACACCAUGACUUUAUCAGUCCCUAUAGUUCUAACAAUGCCCAAACAGUAAUCAUUUGGCCACUGGUAGUUCCUACUUCUUACUCCAUGUGACUGGAGAGGGCCUGCCCAACGUGAUGUAAAUGUGGCCAAAGUACCAAAACCCUCUGGAUGCAGUGACCGGUUCGGGAAUGAUUCUUCUAAGAUGAAACCAGGUAAGUAAAAACUUGAUUCUGGAAUUUACUGGGCAGGGACUCUCUUUCAACGAGAAGUAAGGAUAUUAGGAAGUAAGUCUGGAGGUGCUAAUGGUCAUCUUAUCAGCAGGUAGACUGAUUUAUUGAAGCUAACUAUAAACUAACUAUUGAAACUAACAGAGAGAACAGCAGGAGAUGGAGAAGAACAUAUCCUGCAUUACAGCAUUGGAAUCCCUGGAUUUAUCACCCCUGAGGUUUCACUUGUGUGCUUUUUAGUUAUCCAGUCCAUGGAUUUCUUUUCCACUUUAGACUUCGGAAUUGAGUUUCUGUCACUUGCAGUGAAAAGAGCCUUGACUGAUUCACUUACUUCUCACUAUGAAGGAGGUGUUCUAUAAAGAGUCCAUGGCCAAGCUAUGUAUGACUCAUGAUUGCGUCAAGAGACCCAGUGCUAAAUGCCAGUGAUAAGGUUGUGCGAUGGCCUUCACCCCAUCUUCUGUGCGUAGCUAGACUGCUUAAUAGACCUUGAGCCUGGAUCUUCAGAGUCUAGGUUCUCAGUCAGCACCACAGCCCACCUAAACCCAGCCAACAGGUGAGUCUGCUCUUCUGUCAGGUUGACCCCUGGCUUUUAACCCAAGGGCUAGGAAAUGCUUCUAAUAAAUCCUUGUAGAAUCCUUUCUGAUGACUCAACUCCUCCCCGAUUCAUUCGAGAUUUAUUACUGUGUGCAGAAGCUUAAAUAUUGCCCGAAUUGCACCCUCCCUUAAACCCCCAUUGGCUCUCUCAGACUUUGGUGCCUGGACUGGAUUUGAGCUUGCUCUGAAUUACUCCUGACUAUAACACCGAAUUUGAACUUCUGACCACCAUCCUCCUCUACCAGAAUAGGACCAAACUUUCUUUCUCAGUUUUUCCUGGCUUCUGGACAAUUCUUACUCACCCUUCUACCAUUCUUUCGGAGUGAUGAAAUCAAUUUCAUUUAUAGAUCUCUACACUUAGAUAUAGUGAGGCUAUCUCAGGAUCUUGAAGGUACUUUUUAGAACUAAAUGAGAUUUUCAAUUUUUCAUGUACCAAGUGCCUAUCCCCCACCCACAACCUUGAAAUCAGACUCAUGCUGGAGUUCUCUGGCCAGACUCUACUUGGGAAACCAGCCAAAGGAAAUCUCUGCAACAGAUUGGUCCAGCCCCAAUUAUGGCAGAGGAGUGGGAGUACACAUUACUCCAACAAAAGAAGGCCUGCCCAGAGUCAUCCGGCACAUCUCAUGCUGGCCCUGCCAAAGUAGGAAAAGUGGAGAAUGCCCACCGAAGACAGGAGUGACUUCAUGCUCCGUCCCUGGAAUUGCCUCUGAACUUGUCCUAGGAGAGGACGCUGGGUGCUAAUCAAGAGGACUUUGAUGAUUGUUGGUAAAUUUGGGCAAAUGGGUCCUUUGCCUGGACUACUCUUUUCAUUUGCAGACAGUGAAGAUCCCUGAUUUAAUGAAGCUCAUGUUCCUAUGGAAAAAGAGAGGACAACAAACAAGUAAACAAGGUAAUUUCAGAUAGUGACUACACAAUGAAGGAAUUACAACUGGGUUAUGAUGUAGUUAGCACUGCUUUAUUUUAUUUUAUUAUUUUUUUAGCACUGCUUUAGAUAUCAACAUCAGGGAAAAAUCUCUCCAAGGGGGUGACAUUAGUGCUGAACCCCAAAUGAGGUAAAGGAGACUGGUAAUGUAAAGAGCAUUCAUUCACAAGGACCAGCAUGGGCAAAGCUCUGAGGAGGGUAUGGGCUUUAUCGCAUUAUUAUCUAUGGGGGCGCCUGGGUGGCUCAGUCGUUAAGCGUCUGCCUUGGGCUCAGGUCAUGAUCCCGGGGUCCUGGGAUCGAGCCCCACGUCGGGCUCCCUGCUCAGCAGGAAGCCUGCUUCUCCCUCUCCCACUCCCCCCGCUUGUGUUCCCUCUCUCACUGCCUCUCUCUGUCAAAUAAAUAAAUAAAAUCUUAAAAAAAAAAAGUUAUCUAUGGCUCUGUUUCCUUUCUCUGCUAGAAUUUGAGCAAUAUCCUAGCUCACCUACACACUUGGAAAGGACUUUUCUUGCUAGUAACUGGGCUUUCCAUCCCCAGCAUCCCCCCAGCACAGCUGGGACACCCUAUUACAUUCAUAAGCAUUUUCUUUGUUCUUCAAGAUAUAGUCAAAACCCCACCUCUGCUUUCCCAUCUUAGUGUUCAGUGAAUUAAUUUUGUAUUUGUUUUCUCCUGGUUUAUUUUGCCAUAUGAAACACGGGUCAUCACCUCUGCCUAGGCACCUCCUGGUAUUUGUGAGGCUUUCAUUCAACAGAUUUCCUAAGCAUCAACCUUGUGCUAGGCAUGGGGCUAAGGCUUGGGACCUAAAGAUAAACACAGGUUGGUAACUGCUCUGUGACACAUAUGUGUUUUGCUAAUUAGACUUGCAUUAUAGAUAGCUUUCUCCAGCAAUGGUGUGGAGAAUUGAUUGAAAAGCAACCAGAUUGUAUAUAGGGAAAACAGUAAGUAUGUCUAUAUAUGCCUGUGAGUAUGUGUGUGGUGUUGUAGAUGGCUGCUAACACCCAUCCCCCUUUUUUUCCUGGAAAAAAACACCCUGUUUUCAUGGAUUACCACCCCCUCCUCACCACCACUCCUGUUCCAUGAGGUUGGCUGAGAUUGAUUCCAGCUUCAGAUUCCAGAGGCCAUGUCACAGGUCCUGGCUAAUCAACACCAGGUGUGGUGCGAAUGACAGAACUUCGGAAAAUACUGGUCUGCAAGGCUUUAACCUCCUGACAGUCUGUGAAUUGAUUGAGAAGAAUCUCCAUUGCCAUUUGUUUAUUGUCAUGACACCCAGGAAGCUCAAGUCACAUGCAUUUAUUAUUUAAGUUAUAGUGAAUUAUCUUGGGGACAGUGGUGCCGAGGAUUAUAACAUGGAGACAUUACAGGGGUUUAUCACCCACGGCUGGAAGCACCUGUGACUCCUGAAAAACUUUAAGUACUCAUUUAUAAAGGCACAUGUUUGCCUAGUAAAUACUACUCCCCACUCCCCUUUUUUUUAAGUUACAGAUGAUUCUGGAAUGGUGGGGGACCAGGAUGCAUAUACCAUGGCUGGAAGGCUUUACCGGUUUCAUUUCAUGACAUUUGUUAAACUGGAAAUAUGAGGAGUGGGUAGGCAUCUGUUGUUAAAUGAAAUAAAGCAUAUAAAAUGCUAGGCACUGAACGAACAUUUGCUACCCUCUCUUUCACCCAACCUCACGGGGAAGAAGAUUAAUAGGCAGUCACUCAAAUUGUGACUGAUCAUUUCUCGGGUUCCUAGAACAUGGAACCAGAGUGAUGGUUGAGAGGCGAGGAGCUUUUUUUUUUUUAUAAAGCAGAAUCUAGAAUUACAUCAACAGAAAGAAAAAUUAAUGGAAAAUGACUUGAUUUUACACCUGAUUGUUUGGAACAUUCCAAAGCCAAGAGAAGCCUUUCUUGUCACACGUGAUUUCAUGAUAAUUAGGACCAGCUGUGCCUGGGCAAUUCAGGUCAAGCCAGAUGCCAAACCCAACUGAAACACAGGAAGAUCCUCAUCGUCAAGAGCCUCCAAACAUCCUGUAGAAAAUCAAAAGAAGCAAGAAACUCACACCUCCGGGUGCUAUGAUCUGAUAUGGAACCUGACCAAGGUGCAAGCGCAGAAAGCAGCGAAAAGCUACAUAAGGACAGACGCCCAUUCUGUCACAUUCUGUCACAAUCAAAAACGAAGGCCCGCUGUCCGGCACCACAUCUGGCACCACGAAGGUGCUCAAUACGAGUUCUUUGAACAAAUACAAUAGUGAAUAAAUGAUGUCAUCGGCUGAGAGAAAGGCCAAUCUGAUUAGAGAAGGGCUGCAACUUCCUGAAAUGGACCUUGCAGGCAGCUCGAAGGUUCUCCAGGAGCCCACCACGUUCCGACAGCCUUGAAUUCUCUUCUCUUCCCUCAGACGUCUAAGGGAUUGACAGAGUUCCCUGGGGUGUAGCGAGUGAGACCGGCUGUCCCCUCCUACAGAAUGUCCUACAAGAAGGGAUUUUAACCCCUCCCCAAAUAGAGCCCUUUAUUUUUCAUUGACAGUUGGGAAGUGAACUAGCACCACUGAACAGACACAAAUGAAGGUUUUUCUGGGUCUGGUUGAGCAAAUAGACGGGGCUCAUUUAAGGCAGCACAAUGCAUUAAAAAAUUAAAGCUCACACAAUGCUCGAAAGUUAUUUUGUUAUCUUAAGUAAGUUAAACUAAUUUGUCUAUACUUUUGUUUAUUCUUUAAUUGGUUUAAUAAGUUCUUUCUUCAAAGACAACACAACGAUAGAUUUCAGCCAACUUUAAUUAUCGCAAAUGCCUCAAUUCAGUCAUUCAAAUUAAUUCCUGGGAAAAUUAUUUAUUAACUUUCACAGCCGACUCUUCCAGAGGCUGCUACCUUCUUAUUUGUGGUGUUCAUCUUCCUUGUCAACUCAUAUUUUACUGUAAUCUCUCUGAUU